CAUUCUUUGAUCUGGAGAAUGCGAACCAGGAGUUGAAGAGUGACUUGAAGGAUCUUUACAUUAAUUCAGCAGUGCAAAUCGAUAUGCCUGGCAAUAGGAAAGCUGUUGUUAUUCACAUUCCAUACAGGCUGCGAAAAGCCUACAAAAAGAUUCAUGUUAGGCUGGUUAGAGAACUGGAAAAGAAGUUCAGUGGGAAGGCCAAUUCUAUUGGUGCGAUCGGAGUUGGCAGAAUGUAUACAAGAUCAUAUUUAUGAAUAGGGAGAAAUUGCUGGGUUUGCAAGCUGGGUAUGCAGAAAAAGAACCAGGGAGAAAUUGCUGGG